rnacentral:lncRNA from 1 species
GUCAAAAUGAAUAUUCAAGUCACACUUUCCAAUGCCAGGUCUUCAAAGCACAGAACCACCAACCCUUGUACAUUUGGGGCCAUCUACAAUCCCAUCCUCACCAUAUCGAAUGAGGAGUACCGUUAUUAUUCACAUUUUACAGGGUGGAGAGUCUAAAGGAAGAGCUCACUCUGCCAUGAUGCUGAUGUCACCUGCUGAUUCUUUUCUUUUGAAGAUUAUUCAGCCUCUUGCUUCUCCCUCCACUUCUUCCAACCUUUUAGACAUUUCAUGGCUUGAGAGAAUCACCAUAAGAAGAUGGAGAUGAUGGGAAGCACACUGAGUUGUAGCAGCUACGUCUCUUACCAGUUCUGUGACUUGGGCAAAUUCACUUGAGCUUCCUGAACCUUAGUUUCUUUAGCCAUAAAAUGGGAUCAUAAUUAUACUUAGUGACCUGAUAUUGCAUGUGAAGCAGCUGGGCCAGGGCCUGUUUGAUAGUAAAAGCUGCAUAAAUGUGACGUUGUCAUCAUUAUCUCCAUGGCCUGGCUGACAGGACCACAAGAAAGGAAAAGAGACUGAAAUCUUUUAUAUUCUUCUUAACUCUCUGGAAAAAGGAUUUAACACUCUGGUGAAAGAGCAUAAAAUUAAUAUGACUGGUUGGUCAAAAUGAGA